rnacentral:rRNA from 1 species
GACGAACGCUGGCGGCGUGCUUAACACAUGCAAGUCGAACGGAAAGGCCCUGCUUUUGUGGGGUGCUCGAGUGGCGAACGGGUGUGUAACACGUGAGUAACCUGCCCUUGACUUUGGGAUAACUUCAGGAAACUGGGGCUAAUACCGGAUAGGAGCUCCUGCUGCAUGGUGGGGGUUGGAGAGUUUCGGCGGUUGGGGAUGGACUCGCGGCUUAUCAGCUUGUUGGUGGGGUAGUGGCUUACCAAGGCUUUGACGGGUAGCCGGCCUGAGAGGGUUACCGGGGACAUGGGGACUGAGGUAGGGACCAGACACGUACGGGAGGCAGUAGUGGGGAAUAUUGCAGAAUGGGCGGAAGCCUGAGGCAGCAGCGCCGCGUGCGGGAUGACGGUCUUCGGGUUGUAAACCGCUUUCGCCUGUGACGAAGCGUGAGUGACGGUAAUGGGUAAAGAAGCACCGGCUAACUACGUG